rnacentral:tRNA from 1 species
GGAGAGUUGCCAGAGUGGUCGAAUGGGAUACACUGCUAAUGUAUUGACCGGGUAACCGGUCCGAGGGUUCGAAUCCCUCACUCUCCGCCA